CUACGGGGGGCAGCAGUGAGGAAUAUUGCACAAUGGGGGGAACCCUGAUCCAGCAAUGCCGCGUGAGUGAAGACGGCCUUAGGGUUGUAAAACUCUUUCGCUAGGGAAGAUAAUGACUGUACCUAGUAAAGAAGUCCCGGCUAACUCCGUGCCAGCAGCCGCGGUAAUACGGAGGGGACUAGCGUUGUUCGGAAUUACUGGGCGUAAAGAGUUCGUAGGCGGACUGACAAGUUAGAGGUGAAAUCCCAGGGCUCAACCCUGGAACUGCCUUUAAAACUGUCAGUCUAGAGACCGGAAGAGGUUAGGGGAAUACCUAGUGUAGAGGUGAAAUUCGUAGAUAUUAGGUGGAACACCAGUGGCGAAGGCGCCUAACUGGUCCGGUACUGACGCUGAGGAACGAAAGCGUGGGGAGCAAACAGGAUUAGAUACCCGGGUAGUC
rnacentral:rRNA from 1 species